GGAGAGUUGUCAGAGUCUGGCUUAUUGAGUUCGUCUUGAAAACGAAAGGAUGUAAAAGUUCCGGGGGUUCGAAUCCCUCACUCUCUU
rnacentral:tRNA from 1 species